AUACGGAGGAUCCGAGCGUUAUCCGGAUUUAUUGGGUUUAAAGGGAGCGUAGAUGGAUGUUUAAGUCAGUUGUGAAAGUUUGCGGCUCAACCGUAAAAUUGCAGUUGAUACUGGAUAUCUUGAGUGCAGUUGAGGCAGGCGGAAUUCGUGGUGUAGCGGUUAAAUGCUUAGAUAUCACGAAGAAAUCCGAUUGCGAAGGCAGCCUGCUAAGCUGCAACUGACAUUGAGGCUCGAAAGUGUGGGUAUCAAACAGGAUUAGAUACCCUGGUAGUCCACACGGUAAACGAUGAAUACUCGCUGUUUGCGAUAUACUGCAAGCGGCCAAGCGAAAGCGUUAAGUAUUCCACCUGGGGAGUACGCCGGCAACGGUGAAACUCAAAUGAAUUGGCGGGG
rnacentral:rRNA from 1 species